UAUCUUUAGUUGCAGUCCAGGGAAGAGGAUGGAGGCAGAAAGCUGUCUGAAAGGGUUGUGGCUCAGGGUUGUCCUCAGAAUGGCUCAUUGGAGGAGCAGGGGUCUGAACAUCUAGACAACAGCAGGCUUUACUAUCCGGGUUUCAGCUCCACUUGGCUCCACUGAGUGAGGGCUUUUGGUAUGUAUCCUCCUCUCCCUACAUUCUCAUUGUUAUUUUCCUAUUUCCUUGAUUUUGUGCCACACAGAAUACAAUCAC
rnacentral:lncRNA from 1 species